rnacentral:rRNA from 1 species
GGAAGUAAAAGUCGUAACAAGGUUUCCGUAGGUGAACCUGCGGAAGGAUCAUUACAGUAUUCUUUUUGCCAGCGCUUAAUUGCGCGGCGAAAAAACCUUACACACAGUGUUGUUAUUACAAGAACUUUUGCUUUGGUCUGGACUAGAAAUAGUUUGGGCCAGAGGUUUACUGAACUAAACUUCAAUAUUUAUAUUGAAUUGUUAUUUAUUUAAUUGUCAAUUUGUUGAUUAAAUUCAAAAAAUCUUCAAAACUUUCAACAACGGAUCUCUUGGUUCUCGCAUCGAUGAAGAACGCAGCGAAAUGCGAUAAGUAAUAUGAAUUGCAGAUUUUCGUGAAUCAUCGAAUCUUUGAACGCACAUUGCGCCCUCUGGUAUUCCAGAGGGCAUGCCUGUUUGAGCGUCAUUUCUCUCUCAAACCUUUCGGGUUUGGUAUUGAGUGAUACUCUUAGUCGAACUAGGCGUUUGCUUGAAAUGUAUUGGCAUGAGUGGUACUGGAUAGUGCUAUAUGACUUUCAAUGUAUUAGGUUUAUCCAACUCGUUGAAUAGUUUAAUGGUAUAUUUCUCGGUAUUCUAGGCUCGGCCUUACAAUAUAACAAACAAGUUUGACCUCAAAUCAGGUAGGAUUACCCGCUGAACUUAAGCAUAUCAAUAAGCGGAGGAAAAGAAACCAACAGGGAUUGCCUUAGUAACGGCGAGUGAAGCGGCAAAAGCUCAAAUUUGAAAUCUGGCACCUUCGGUGUCCGAGUUGUAAUUUGAAGAAGGUAACUUUGGAGUUGGCUCUUGUCUAUGUUCCUUGGAACAGGACGUCACAGAGGGUGAGAAUCCCGUGCGAUGAGAUGCCCAAUUCUAUGUAAAGUGCUUUCGAAGAGUCGAGUUGUUUGGGAAUGCAGCUCUAAGUGGGUGGUAAAUUCCAUCUAAAGCUAAAUAUUGGCGAGAGACCGAUAGCGAACAAGUACAGUGAUGGAAAGAUGAAAAGAACUUUGAAAAGAGAGUGAAAAAGUACGUGAAAUUGUUGAAAGGGAAGGGCUUGAGAUCAGACUUGGUAUUUUGCGAUCCUUUCCUUCUUGGUUGGGUUCCUCGCAGCUUACUGGGCCAGCAUCGGUUUGGAUGGUAGGAUAAUGACUAAGGAAUGUGGCUCUACUUCGGUGGAGUGUUAUAGCCUUGGUUGAUACUGCCUGUCUAGACCGAGGACUGCGUCUUUGACUAGGAUGCUGGCAUAAUGAUCUUAAGCCACCCGUCUUGAAACACGGACC